rnacentral:rRNA from 1 species
CUUGCCUCAUAUAAGAGGUCUAGCCUGCCCAGUGACAUUUGUUCAACGGCCGCGGUAUCCUAACCGUGCGAAGGUAGCGUAAUCACUUGUUCUUUAAAUGAGGACUAGUAUGAAAGGCAUCACGAGAGUUAUACUGUCUCCUUUCUCUAAUCAGUGAAACUAAUCCCCCCGUGAAGAAGCGGGGAUAAGAAUAUAAGACGAGAAGACCCUAUGGAGCUUUAAACAAAUUAUAUAUGCCCUUUUAGCUUCAAAUUUCAGAAAAAUCUCUUAUCUUGGUAUAAUAACUAAUAGGUUUUUGGUUGGGGUGACCACGGAAUAAAAAACAACUUCCGCAGUGAAAGAUUCUCCCUCACUAAAUUAAGGACUACGGCCCUAAACAUCAAUAAAUUGACAUAAUUGACCCAACAUGUUGAUCAAUGAAC